GAUUCUGGGAAGCGGAGGGGUGGGGGCUGCGAGCACAGGGGAACCGCAGCUGGCGGGAAGGGGUGCGGCCCGGAGGCCGCCUCCGUCUUCCCGUGCGUUUCCACACCUCCCAGUGUUGGCCCAGGAGGUCCUCGGGGUCUGGGGACCCCUCUCCGCCCCAGUCCCCGUUAGCCAGACCAAGUUAAAAUCCAGCCUCCCUGGCUCUUAGCUGUGCUGUGACCUUGGGCAAGUCACCCCAGUCCUGGAGAUCUCACCAACUCUGUGGGUCCGGACUUCCAGGGUAAGGACAAGAGACCAGGCCCUCCCCUCCCACUGGGAGUUCUGGCUGGAUCAGAGUCACAACCUUGUGGCCAGAAUUGCAUGUCCAGCCGGAGUCGUGUUCCCCUCUGACCAGCUGUUCCUGAGAGAAGAGAUGGAGUGGGGGUGGGGCGCCCACACCACAGCGGAGACUGAAGUCAGCCGUCCUGCCUUUCCCUCUCGACCACCUGGUGGUCUCCGCUGGUCCAUCUCUCCUGUUGGUCGGCAGCCAGCCACAAUGUAGCUUCUGUCCGUCCCCACUAUUCCCCCAGAACCGCUCCUCCAAGCCCAGGGGUCACCCCCAAGGGACCAAAUCUGGGAUGUUUUCCAGUCCUCUUCUUCCUGCCCUGCUCUUAGAAGCUACAACCCAGGAGACCCCUCGUCCUUCCGGGAGGUUCUCUCUGCCUCUGGGAUGCCCCAGUUUCUGGCUCUCCUCCUACCUCAUUGGCAGCACCAGCUCAUCUUUUUCUGCACAACCCUCUCCGUUCCCUGGUCUGUAGAAACUGGUAUUCUCCAUGGCUUAGGAUUGGGCACCGUUCUCUUCCUUUCCCAUUUUUAUUACAUGAUAAUUGAUACAUACUAAAAAGUGUCUGCAUCAUAGACUUGAGUUAUAAAGCAUAACAAUAAAGUGAGCCCCAUAGCCCCCCCACCCAGUUUGAGAACCAGCACAUCCCUCGUGAGUACCCCUGUGACUACCUUGGGCCCCUCCCCCGCCCCACCCCACUUCCCUUCCAGAAUUCUCCAUCACCCCUCACUUGACAGUUCUCAUUCCCUCACAUUUUUAACCGUUUUUUCAAAUCACAUUGGUAUGCAUCCCUAAACAAUACAUUUUUUAGUUUUACUUGUUCUCGAGCUUUAUGCAGCGGAACCAUGCCGUGUGUCAUCUGUGACUUGCUCUCCUCGCUCAACACGAUUUCUCAGGUUCAGCCAUAGAGGUAGUGAUGCUUCAUCCAAUUUUGCUAUGACGCUAUCUUCCUUUGUGGGAAUACACCACAAUUGCUGUAUCCGUCUUCCCUGCCCAUGGACAGCAGGCUGUUUCUGGCUUUCGGUUUUGAUGACUAAAGCUGCCGAGUGCGUUCUUUUGGGGGACCUCCCCAGUUAGCCAGCAUCCCACUGAUGGCCUGGCCCCCCCAUGCCUCCCCUGGGCGUGUGUGUCUCUGGGCGCUCAGGUCGGUUCUGUGGAUCUUCCGUCCAGCCCUGGGUCUGAGAUGUUGCCUUUAGGACUUGAGCAUUAAAGGAAGUCUUGAUGUGUGGUGA